GACGAACGCUGGCGGCGUGCUUAACACAUGCAAGUCGAGCGGUAAGGCCCUUUCGGGGGUACACGAGCGGCGAACGGGUGAGUAACACGUGGGUGACCUGCCCUCAGCUCUGGGAUAAGCCUGGGAAACCGGGUCUAAUACUGGAUAUGACUCCAUGACGCAUGUUGUGGGGUGGAAAGCCUUGUGCGGCUGAGGAUGGGCCCGCGGCCUAUCAGCUUGUUGGUGGGGUGANGGCCUACCAAGGCGACGACGGGUAGCCGGCCUGAGAGGGCGACCGGCCACACUGGGGACUGAGACACGGCCCAGACUCCUACGGGAGGCAGCAGUGGGGAAUCUUGCGCAAUGGGCGAAAGCCUGACGCAGCGACGCCGCGUGAGGGAUGACGGCCU
rnacentral:rRNA from 1 species